AGCAGCCGCGGUAAUUCCAGCUCCAAUAGCGUAUAUUAAAGUUGUUGCAGUUAAAAAGCUCGUAGUUGAAUUUCGGGAUUGACACAUCGGUCGUGCCAAUGGUAUGUACUGGCCUCAUUGGUUCUCACCUUCUAAGGAACCAUGAUGUCAUUUAUUUGAUGUUGUGGGAAAUUAGGACUGUUACCUUGAAAAAAUUAGAGUGUUUAAAGCAGGCUAACGCUUGAAUACAUUAGCAUGGAAUAAUGAAAUAGGACAUCCGAUUCUAUUUUGUUGGUUUCUAGGAUCGAUGUAAUGAUUAAUAGGGAUAGUUGGG
rnacentral:rRNA from 1 species